UCAGGACGAACGCUGGCGGCACGCUUAACACAUGCAAGUCGAACGGAGUUAUUUGGAGCUUGCUCUGAAUAACUUAGUGGCGGACGGGUGAGUAACACGUGAGCAACCUGCCUUUGAGAGUGGAAUAGCUUCUGGAAACGGAUGGUAAUACCGCAUAACAUUACCGGACCGCAUGAUCUGGUAAUCAAAGAUUUAUCGCUCAAAGAUGGGCUCGCGCCUGAUUAGAUAGUUGGUGGGGUAACGGCCUACCAAGUCGACGAUCAGUAGCCGGACUGAGAGGUUGGACGGCCACAUUGGGACUGAGACACGGCCCAGACUCCUACGGGAGGCAGCAGUGGGGAAUAUUGCACAAUGGGCGGAAGCCUGAAUGCAGCGAUGCCGCGUGGAGGAAGAAGGUUUUCGGAUUGUAAACUCCUUAUCUGAGGGACGAUAAUGACGGUACCUCAGGAGAAAGCUCCGGCUAACUACGUGCCAGCCGCGGC
rnacentral:rRNA from 1 species